rnacentral:rRNA from 1 species
GAUGAACGCUAGCGAUAGGCUUAACACAUGCAAGUCGAGGGGCAGCAUGGUCUUAGCUUGCUAAGGCUGAUGGCGACCGGCGCACGGGUGCGUAACGCGUAUGCAACUUGCCUCACAGAGGGGGAUAACCCGUCGAAAGACGGACUAAUACCGCGUACACUCUAUGUUGGGCAUCCAAUGUAGAGGAAAUGAAAUUCGCUGUGAGAUAGGCAUGCGUCCCAUUAGCUAGUUGGUGAGGUAACGGCUCACCAAGGCGACGAUGGGUAGGGGAACUGAGAGGUUGAACCCCCACACUGGUACUGAGACACGGACCAGACUCCUACGGGAGGCAGCAGUGAGGAAUAUUGGUCAAAGGGCGAGAGCCUGAACCAGCCAAGUCGCGUGAAGGAUGACUGUCUUAUGGAUUGUAAACUUCUUUUAUACGGGAAUAACAAGAGUCACGUGUGGCUCCCUGCAUGUACCGUAUGAAUAAGCAUCGGCUAACUCCGUG